rnacentral:lncRNA from 1 species
UCUCUUAUUUUUCUCUCUUCCAAAACCCAGAGGUAGAAACCCUAGAAGACUAGGUUUUGCGCACACCCCAAGUGAGAGGACCCUCCUCCUCUUUUUUAUGCCAAGAACUAUUCCCCAAAGCCUCUCAAUAUGGAGAACUCCUUCUCUAGUCUAUUACAUGCACAAAAGUGAGAAAUUGAUCCCUUUUUAUUGGCAUGUAAUUACUAGGGGCGA